rnacentral:rRNA from 1 species
AUUGAACGCUGGCGGCAGGCCUAACACAUGCAAGUCGAGCGGAUGAGAGGAGCUUGCUCCUUGAUUUAGCGGCGGACGGGUGAGUAAUGCCUAGGAAUCUGCCUGGUAGUGGGGGAUAACGUUCCGAAAGGAACGCUAAUACCGCAUACGUCCUACGGGAGAAAGCAGGGGACCUUCGGGCCUUGCGCUAUCAGAUGAGCCUAGGUCGGAUUAGCUAGUUGGUGAGGUAAUGGCUCACCAAGGCGACGAUCCGUAACUGGUCUGAGAGGAUGAUCAGUAGCAGAGAAACGGGGACACGGACCAGACUCCUGCGGGAGGCACCGGUGGGGAACAUGGGACAAUGGGCGAAAGCCUAUUCCAGCCAGGCCGCGUGUGUGAGAAAGGUCUACGGAUUGUAAAGCACUUUAAGUUGGGAGGAAGGGAGGUAUGCUAAUACCUGGCUGUUUUGACGUAACCGACAAAAUAAGCACCGCCAACUUCGUG